rnacentral:antisense_RNA from 1 species
CUUCACCGAGCCGAGCCACAGCGGUUCGUCACGGUCCUGGCCGUAGGUCGCCAGGAGCGCCUGGGCCUC